GAUGAACGCUGGCGGCGUGCCUAAUACAUGCAAGUCGAGCGAACAGAUGAGGAGCUUGCUCCUCUGACGUUAGCGGCGGACGGGUGAGUAACACGUGGAUAACCUACCUAUAAGACUGGGAUAACUUCGGGAAACCGGAGCUAAUACCGGAUAAUAUAUUGAACCGCAUGGUUCAAUAGUGAAAGACGGUUUUGCUGUCACUUAUAGAUGGAUCCGCGCCGCAUUAGCUAGUUGGUAAGGUAACGGCUUACCAAGGCGACGAUGCGUAGCCGACCUGAGAGGGUGAUCGGCCACACUGGAACUGAGACACGGUCCAGACUCCUACGGGAGGCAGCAGUAGGGAAUCUUCCGCAAUGGGCGAAAGCCUGACGGAGCAACGCCGCGUGAGUGAUGAAGGUCUUCGGAUCGUAAAACUCCGUUAUUAGGGAAGAACAAAUGUGUAAGUAACUAUGCACGUCUUGACGGUACCUAAUCAGAAAGCCACGGCUAACUACGUG
rnacentral:rRNA from 1 species